rnacentral:rRNA from 1 species
ACGGGAGGCAGCAGUGGGGAAUAUUGCACAAUGGGCGAAAGCCUGAUGCAGCGACGCCGCGUGAGUGAAGAAGUAUCUCGGUAUGUAAAGCUCUAUCAGCAGGGAAGAAAAUGACGGUACCUGACUAAGAAGCCCCGGCUAACUACGUGCCAGCAGCCGCGGUAAUACGUAGGGGGCAAGCGUUAUCCGGAAUUAUUGGGCGUAAAGAGUACGUAGGUGGUUUUGUAAGCGUAAGGUGAAAGCCCGGGGCUUAACCCCGGCCAGCCUUACGAACUGCAAGACUUGAGUGCAGGAGGGGAAAGUGGAAUUCCUAGUGUAGCGGUGAAAUGCGUAGAUAUUAGGAGGAACACCAGUGGCGAAGGCGACUUUCUGGACUGUAACUGACACUGAGGUACGAAAGCGUGGGGAGCAAACAGGAUUAGAUACCCUGGUA